GCUCCUAUAACUCAGUUGGUAGAGUGACAGGCUGUUAACCUGUAAGUCAGAGGUUCGAACCCUCUUGGGAGCG
rnacentral:tRNA from 1 species